CUUGAUGGCUUAGAGGUUAAAAGCAUCUGCCUCCAAUGCGGGAGACCUGGGUUCGAUCCCUGGGUCAGGA
rnacentral:tRNA from 1 species